rnacentral:tRNA from 1 species
UCCCUGGUGGUCCAAUGGUCAGGACUCUGCCCUUGCACUGUGGAGGGCCUGGGGUUCAAUCCCUGGUCAGAGAA